CGAAGUGCUGGGAUUACAGGCGUGCGUCACCGUGUCCAGCCAUAUUUCUUUUUUAUUAAAAAAAAAAAAGUAGAGAUGAUGUCUCACCAUGUUGCCCAGGCUGGUCUUGAACUCCUGGGCUCAAGUGAUCCUCGGGCCUCGGCCUCCCAAAGUGCUGGGAUUACAGAUGUGAACCACUGCGCCCGGCUGAGAAGCAUUUCAUCAUUGCUCCUGGUGUAGCCCCAU
rnacentral:lncRNA from 10 species